rnacentral:rRNA from 1 species
CCUACGGGAGGCAGCAGUGGGGAAUAUUGGACAAUGGGCGAAAGCCUGAUCCAGCAAUGCCGCGUGAGUGAUGAAGGCCUUAGGGUUGUAAAGCUCUUUUACCAGGGAUGAUAAUGACAGUACCUGGAGAAUAAGCUCCGGCUAACUCCGUGCCAGCAGCCGCGGUAAUACGGAGGGAGCUAGCGUUGUUCGGAAUUACUGGGCGUAAAGCGUACGUAGGCGGUUAUUCAAGUCAGAGGUGAAAGCCUGGAGCUCAACUCCAGAACUGCCUUUGAAACUAGAUAGCUAGAAUCACGGAGAGGUUAGUGGAAUUCCGAGUGUAGAGGUGAAAUUCGUAGAUAUUCGGAAGAACACCAGUGGCGAAGGCGACUAACUGGACGUGUAUUGACGCUGAGGUACGAAAGCGUGGGGAGCAAACAGGAUUAGAUACCCUGGUAGUCCACGCCGUAAACGAUGAUAACUAGCUGUUCGGUCUCUACGAGACUGAGUGGCGCAGCUAACGCAUUAAGUUAUCCGCCUGGGGAGUACGGUCGCAAGAUUAAAACUCAAAUGAAUUGACGG